rnacentral:rRNA from 1 species
UGCAGUCGAACGAAGUAGCAAUACUUAGUGGCAGACGGGUGAGUAACAUGUGGGUAUCUUCCCUUUGGUGAGGAAUAACACGAGGAAACUUGUGCUAAUACCUCAUAAGUCUUUACGGAGAAAGCUUUAUGCGCCAAUGGAUGAGCCCGCACUUGAUUAGUUUGUUGGUGGGGUAAUGGCCUACCAAGACUUUGAUCAAUAGCUGAUCUGAGAGGAUGAUCAGCCACAUUGGGACUGAGACACGGCCCAAACUCCUACGGGAGGCAGCAGUAGGGAAUAUUGCACAAUGGAGGAAACUCUGAUGCAGCGAUGCCGCGUGAGUGAAGAAGGCCUUUGGGUUGUAAAGCUCUUUCGUCGGGGAAGAAAAUGACUGUACCCGAAUAAGAAGGUCCGGCUAACUUCGUGCCAGCAGCCGCGGUAAUACGAAGGGACCUAGCGUAGUUCGGAAUUACUGGGCUUAAAGAGUUCGUAGGUGGUUAAAAAAGUUGGUGGUGAAAUCCCAGAGCUUAACUCUGGAACUGCCAUCAAAACUUUUUAGCUAGAGUAUGAUAGAGGAAAGCAGAAUUUCUAGUGUAGAGGUGAAAUUCGUAGAUAUUAGAAAGAAUACCAAUUGCGAAGGCAGCUUUCUGGAUCAUUACUGACGCUGAGGAACGAAAGCAUGGGUAGCG